UAUACAUAUAUUGACACCAAUAAACAUGCAUCAAGUUUUAAUAUCGCAAAACGUGCACACAUUUGCCAUACUAUCACUAUAAGCACCAAUAAACAAUCAGCACAAAACACAAACUUAGUUCCAAAAUAGCGGAGCUUUUAUGAUGGUAAUGAAGUAAUGUUUAAAUAUUUCGACAUGCUUGGGUUACCCUGUGUAUUUCGUGGGGAAACUUUUGAAUACUAUAUAAUAUCUAAAUAAAACAACACUCAAAAUCUAAAUGUAAUUAAUAUUAUUAAAAUUGCAGCAAUUACAUUGAUGUUCAUGGAGUGAGAUAAUCGACUCCCCCUAAAUGGCCAUCAUCUCUAGCCCGUUGUGCCGCCAACCUUUCACGAUCAUAUCCAUCUAUUCCCAAGCCUAACCUCUCUAUGUGGCUUUCUCCCAAAAUUCCAUUCAAUUCCUGGUACUGUCUCGAGCGUCUGAUGCCAAUUUCUGGAUCAAACGGCCAAGGCAUUGAUUUAUGCAAAACUGGGUGUCCUGCUAGGUUGAACUGCACCAAAUCACGCACAAUCGUGAGAGCGGCAUCGUUAGAUGGGAAAUUGUAGGCUAUUAGAAGAAUC